AGAGAGAGAAGCAGAGAGUGAAAGAGCAAGACAGAGCACACGAGGUAAAGUUAAUUAACCUGGUAACUAUAUAUGGCAUAGCCCUGGGAAGGGGGUUAGAAUCCAGAGGCCACGCCAGGACUGUGCACAGGGACUGCAAUGGAAUGAAUGGGAGGCACUUCAAAGCAAGAAGUGAUGCCAUUCGUAUCUGGAAGACAAUUGAAGAUUACUGGAGUGGCUCCUAGUUAUCUCAAAGAUGGAAUUUCCUUUCCCUCUAAUAGCUUCAUCCUGGACCUAGACUAGAGGUCUAAUCUAGACUUGGAGCCCUCAGGCGAGACCCAGAAGAAACUAAAUCCCCAGAGAAGGAACCAUUCCUAUGACCAGCGCCUGCAUCUCCGAAUAAGGGAGCCACAACCUUGGACUAUCAGGCCACUGCUGCCCCCUGCUCCACCGUCUGGAAGCGUCAGCAGCAGAGGUGAUUCCCCGGAGAUGACACAAGCCUCCUUAUCUAAUAAUAGUGCUAUCUA